UAGUCAUAUGCUUGUCUUAAAGAUUAAGCCAUGCAUGUCUAAGUAUAAGUAUUAUACAGCGAAACUGCGAAUGGCUCAUUAAAACAGUUAUAGUUUAUUUGAUAAUGAAGUCUACAUGGAUAACUGUGGUAAUUCUAGAGCUAAUACAUGCUGUCAAACCUAACUUUUCGGAAAGGUUGUAUUUAUUAGAUAUCAAACCAAUAUUCCUUCGGGUCUAUUGUGAUGAUUCAUAGUAACUGAUCGAAUCGCAGUCCGCUGCGAUAAAUCAUUCAAGUUU
rnacentral:rRNA from 1 species